rnacentral:rRNA from 1 species
GACGAACGCUGGCGGCGUGCCUAAUACAUGCAAGUCGAACGAACUCUGGUAUUGAUUGGUGCUUGCAUCAUGAUUUGCAUUUGAGUGAGUGGCGAACUGGUGAGUAACACGUGGGAAACCUGCCCAGAAGCGGGGGAUAACACCUGGAAACAGAUGCUAAUACCGCAUAACAACUUGGACCGCAUGGUCCGAGUUUGAAAGAUGGCUUCGGCUAUCACUUUUGGAUGGUCCCGCGGCGUAUUAGCUAGAUGGUGGGGUAACGGCUCACCAUGGCAAUGAUACGUAGCCGACCUGAGAGGGUAAUCGGCCACAUUGGGACUGAGACACGGCCCAAACUCCUACGGGAGGCAGCAGUAGGGAAUCUUCCACAAUGGACGAAAGUCUGAUGGAGCAACGCCGCGUGAGUGAAGAAGGGUUUCGGCUCGUAAAACUCUGUUGUUAAAGAAGAACAUAUCUGAGAGUAACUGUUCAGGUAUUGACGGUAUUUAACCAGAAAGCCACGGCUAACUACGUGCCAGCAGCCGCGGUAAUACGUAGGUGGCAAGCGUUGUCCGGAUUUAUUGGGCGUAAAGCGAGCGCAGGCGGUUUUUUAAGUCUGAUGUGAAAGCCUUCGGCUUAACCGAAGAAGUGCAUCGGAAACUGGGAAACUUGAGUGCAGAAGAGGACAGUGGAACUCCAUGUGUAGCGGUGAAAUGCGUAGAUAUAUGGAAGAACACCAGUGGCGAAGGCGGCUGUCUGGUCUGUAACUGACGCUGAGGCUCGAAAGUAUGGGUAGCAAACAGGAUUAGAUACCCUGGUAGUCCAUACCGUAAACGAUGAAUGCUAAGUGUUGGAGGGUUUCCGCCCUUCAGUGCUGCAGCUAACGCAUUAAGCAUUCCGCCUGGGGAGUACGGCCGCAAGGCUGAAACUCAAAGGAGUUGACGGGGGCCCGCACAAGCGGUGGAGCGUGUGGUUUAAUUCGAAGCUACGCGAAGAACCUUACCAGGUCUUGACAUACUAUGCAAAUCUAAGAGAUUAGACGUUCCCUUCGGGGACAUGGAUACAGGUGGUGCAUGGUUGUCGUCAGCUCGUGUCGUGAGAUGUUGGGUUAAGUCCCGCAACGAGCGCAACCCUUAUUAUCAGUUGCCAGCAUUAAGUUGGGCACUCUGGUGAGACUGCCGGUGACAAACCGGAGGAAGGUGGGGAUGACGUCAAAUCAUCAUGCCCCUUAUGACCUGGGCUACACACGUGCUACAAUGGAUGGUACAACGAGUUGCGAACUCGCGAGAGUAAGCUAAUCUCUUAAAGCCAUUCUCAGUUCGGAUUGUAGGCUGCAACUCGCCUACAUGAAGUCGGAAUCGCUAGUAAUCGCGGAUCAGCAUGCCGCGGUGAAUACGUUCCCGGGCCUUGUACACACCGCCCGUCACACCAUGAGAGUUUGUAACACCCAAAGUCGGUGGGGUAACCUUUUAGGAACCAGCCGCCUAAGGUGGGACAGAUGAUUAGGGUG